rnacentral:rRNA from 1 species
GGCNGAGAGUGCUACCAUGCAGUCGACGGUGAAGCAGAGCUUGCUCUGUGGAUCAGUGGCGAACGGGUGAGUAACACGUGAGCAACCUGCCCCGGACUCUGGGAUAAGCGCUGGAAACGGCGUCUAAUACUGGAUACGAGCUGCGACCGCAUGGUCAGCAGUUGGAAAGAUUUUUCGGUCUGGGAUGGGCUCACGGCCUAUCAGCUUGUUGGUGAGGUAAUGGCUCACCAAGGCGUCGACGGGUAGCCGGCCUGAGAGGGUGACCGGCCACACUGGGACUGAGACACGGCCCAGACUCCUACGGGAGGCAGCAGUGGGGAAUAUUGCACAAUGGGCGAAAGCCUGAUGCAGCAACGCCGCGUGAGGGAUGACGGCCUUCGGGUUGUAAACCUCUUUUAGCAGGGAAGAAGCGAGAGUGACGGUACCUGCAGAAAAAGCGCCGGCUAACUACGUGCCAGCAGCCGCGGUAAUACGUAGGGCGCAAGCGUUAUCCGGAAUUAUUGGGCGUAAAGAGCUCGUAGGCGGUUUGUCGCGUCUGCUGUGAAAUCCCGAGGCUCAACCUCGGGCCUGCAGUGGGUACGGGCAGACUAGAGUGCGGUAGGGGAGAUUGGAAUUCCUGGUGUAGCGGUGGAAUGCGCAGAUAUCAGGAGGAACACCGAUGGCGAAGGCAGAUCUCUGGGCCGUAACUGACGCUGAGGAGCGAAAGGGUGGGGAGCAAACAGGCUUAGAUACCCUGGUAGUCCACCCCGUAAACGUUGGGAACUAGUUGUGGGGUCCAUUCCACGGAUUCCGUGACGCAGCUAACGCAUUAAGUUCCCCGCCUGGGGGAGUACGGCCGCAAGGCUAAAACUCAAAGGAAUUGACGGGGACCCGCACAAGCGGCGGAGCAUGCGGAUUAAUUCGAUGCAACGCGAAGAACCUUACCAAGGCUUGACAUAUACGAGACGGGCCAGAAAUGGUCAACUCUUUGGACACUCGUAAACAGGUGGUGCAUGGUUGUCGUCAGCUCGUGUCGUGAGAUGUUGGUUUAGUCCCGCAACGAGCGCAACCUCGUUCUAUGUUGCCAGCAACGUAUUGUGGGAACUCAUGGGAUACUGCCGAGUUCACUCGGGAGAANGUCGGAUGACGUCAAAUCAUCAUGCCCUAAUGUCUGGCUCCCGCAUGGCUCAAUGCCGUACAAGGCUGCAAUACCGCGAGGUGGAGCGAAUCCAANAACCCGUUCCGCAGUCUGCGA